AAAAUAAUAAAUAAAUAAAAUAAAAUAAAAGGCUUCAGCCUUUCUUUUUACCCGAGCCCCUCUCUCUCUCUCUCUCUCUCUCUCUUUCUCUCUCUCUGCGUGUUACUGUUGCCGACGACGCAGGAGUACUUUCCGGCCACCACUUUUAGCCACGCGCCGGACCGUUGGAUUCAGAGGCCUCCGAACUAUCGACCCACGCGGGAAUCUAGAGCUCACUCGCCGAUUAAACGCCUCAACCACUCGAUUUAAGUUCGGCCACCCCGCGACUUCAAAGUUGCGAUUCGGCCACCUCGGGCAUCCGUUUGCCGAUCCGUCACCACCAUCGUGCUCCUCGUGUUGUGGGCUUCAAAACCAAAUAACUUGUUCCUACAUCUAUCAUAGUUGGGUGGUGGGCCCACCAUGAGCCACCGCGAUCCACCGUAGACCGACGGUCGAAACUUAGUGUUCGAGGUUCCGAAGUACGUUUUGAGUCUCAGAAAAUCAUCGUUUGACUUGUUGUGGAACCCGAUCAUUUUGGAUUUGUAUGGAUUUGAUUGAUUGACUCUUGGUGAGGAAUUUUAAAAUAAGCUAAGGACCUAAGGUGUGGCUUUAGCUGUUGAGCAACUUGUGGAGCACGGACUCAGUAGCAAUGCAAUAAUGGUUUAGAGUUUUCAUAUGGCUGCCUUAAAUUUAAAGUAUUCAUACGUGUAAUAAUUUCUACUAAUAAGUUUAUAUAAAAGUUUUAAAUUUUUCUGUAUUUCUUCGUAUCAUUUUAUUUAAUUCUUUUGGUCAAGUGCCUUACAUACUCGUAAACCCUAGAAUUACGAGUAUGUGGCAGACGUACCCUACCU